AGUCUGACAGAAGAGCGAGUGAGGGUGCAUCAUGACGAGCAACAGGUCGUGUACUGGGUAAGAUAACUAACUUAACAUCUUAAACUCAGUGACAAGUCAACUUAAUUAUUAUCUCCUCUCAUGCUCUCCCAUCUAAAUAUGUAAGAUUUGAUUAGCCAACAGUAUAGCUAGCUGCCAGAGCCCCCAAUAGUAAAGCGUCAGGCCAAUAUUUUCAGAGAUUAUAGAUUAUCAUAGCUUCAGUGAAGUAAGGAAGAUUUGGUGUUGAUGGAGGAGGCAACAUCUUCAAGGCAAAACCUUAGACCUGAUGCAACAUCAUCCAGUGUCAAAAUCACCCUUUAGGAGGCACUUGAAGACCAGUGCCCAAUAUGCACAGGAACAUUUCCAGUGUCAGAAGUAGACCUGCCAUGCCAGCUUUUGUGGAGACAGGCUCUCCAAGGAAGGUGAUUUUCAGGGGAUUGACUGGAAUUCCUGGUUCCCUUUCAAGGGAACUUCGAACUGCGUCCUCUAGGGGUCGCUAUGGGGAACACCUCGUCGUGACCCGUGUCUGAAGCAUACAAAUGAAAAAACACCAACGAGUUGGCCGGCGACAGCCUCUGACGUCACUACCGGUGCGACUAUAAAACAGGCACCGGGAAAACACGUCAUUCUCUUCUUCGUCUUCACUGACUGUUUUGUUUGAAGCGUGCAUCUGAGAAACGACCACGGUAAGAGC
ensembl:lncRNA